AACAUGGAUACAAGUGGCAAGGAGGAGCCAUAUUGUUUUCAUGGUAUGGGAUCUGAAAAUUUUGAAUGAGAUUUAAAAAUGGAAACGUACUUCGAUUUUUUCAAGUAAUCAUAUAAAAAUUUGCUGAUAUACUACAAAUACAAAAAAU
ensembl:ncRNA C13C12.6 ncRNA